GAAAUGAUAACAGCAUAGCGGGUUUGUGCUGCUCAUCACCACAUUCAGCAUAUGAGACCCAGGAGCGGAUCACAGGCGUCCUGCCCCUCAGGCCUCGGGCUAGCUCAGGGUCACCAAUGCCUUUGGUGAGGACAUUUCUCACCUUUCCUUCCAGCAUCGCCAAAUUUAGUCAUGUUCAGCAACUUCAGCAUCCAGAUGGGAUGAUGAAUGCCAUGAAUCAACCCCAGGAUGUUAUCGUCUCAGCCCGUAAAGCUCUCGGUCUGUGUUUGGACUAGGGCUGGGAUGAUGCAUGUGGAAAUUGGGUCCAUGCUGUGAACAAACCCCCGCCUUUGUAAUUCAAGUCUGAGAUGCAUUCAUUCUGUUAAAAAGAAAAAAAACAACACAACACACGAUUGAUAAUACCCCUUUCAAAGUUAAUGAAACUCUCACAGAAAGGAUUUUGGAAAUAUAUUACUCUAUUCCAGAAAUUACUGUCCUGGCAAUUUGCUACAGUCUAAGGUCGCCUUUUUAUUCUUCCUUGUCGCUAGGAUAUUCUCUCAUAUUCAAAACCCCAAGUCAUCGCUUUUAUUAACAUGUGAAGGAAAGGCCCGAACUGACCAAUUGUGCAACCAAACCUUGAUUAAUAUCACGUCUCCAUCAGGGAUGAAACCAACCAUUCUGUGUGUAAGGCACAGAUGAGUGGAUUUUAGCUCAGCACGGACAGCUCACCUAAUCAAGGCUACCUCCUUCACUGAUUCUGCUCAAAAAUUGGGAAGACCUCAGUCUCUCAUGCACUGUAGUUCAAACCCUCCCUCCCACCGACUGAAAACUUGCAUUGAGAAAUGCAAAACUGUCUUAAAAAGCUGGGAAGUGCUGGCUACAGAGGUCUGUGAUGGAUCUAGAUGUACUGGCACGUGCCAUGCAGUCACUGAACACUGCAUGGCCCGAGCAUCUACCUCCAGGCCUGCUACGUGCUCCAGCUGCUGCCUGGGCUUCUGUUCCAUUUGGGGUCCUUUGGGGUUUUGUGUCUUAGUGUGAUACGGUUUUAAAAGACGUAGCCAUAAUCUCGUUUCCCCAGAGGAACCCUAUCUCUGAGUUGGAUGAUGACCUCUGGGAAGCUUUUAUGAGAGGAGGCUGGAAGAAUUUGCUGUGUUGAUUUUAAUAAAGGUUAAGAGGAGAUUUGACAUUGUCUCGAAAGGAGGGAAAACAUGGCUGGAGAACUUUAUUAAAUUUGUAAAUGGAAGACAAACGGGUCCAAAAUGGGCAUAGAUGAAUUUAGACUGGGAAUUAGGAAAUUUGGGACUUUCAUGAGGUUAUGGAAUGACUUUUCUGCACAGAGGGCAGGAAGCCCAGCUGCUUUGAAAGAGGAACCUGAUCAACCUAUAAAAGUGCCUAUGUGGUGUAGUCGCCAGAGGCAGUAGGAGACUGAACUUCAAGAGCUUUCCAAUUCUUUGUUUCUAUUUAAUGUUUCUUUUAAUGCUUAUUCCAUGUAUACUUUAAUGCACAGCUUACUGCACAGCACCACCCUCCAUUGAAGAAAAAAUAUUAAUUUCCAUUAGAGCGUUUCAGGAAUGCUGUCGUCCUGCUAAACAUUAACGACUUUAUCUGCAUAAUACCAUUAUGAAAUGGGUGGCAUUAUCUUCUCUUAUGUCCAGGAAAAUAAAAAUAUCAACACUCCUUCGUGCCUCUGUGGAGAAAUAUAAGGCUUUCUCUUCCAGAGUGUUAAACAUUAAAUCAAGGACCUUUGCUUCUCCUUUCUGCCGCUUGAUGUGCAUUGAACGUCCACCUCCCAUUGACUUCAGAUGCACCUCCUGAAGUGCAGCAUCUUGGCAGCUCGCUCUGCAAAUUACCCAGUUGGGGUGGGGGAGCAAUAUGAGGAAUGUAUACAGUGCAAAUUCCUGAGACUUACGUGUGAACUUUAGGAUGGAGUCAGAACCCAGUUUUCCAAAGGUUCAGUUGUUUGCCAUAACUAUAAGACUGUUUGUAGUUGAUUUUUGUCAUAUUUGCAAAGGCUUUGUGUUCUGGCAGUUACAGGGCUUCUCGUUUGUCCCCUUGCUACUUUAUGUCCUCUUCUUUGCCCAAUUACUUGUCUUCUAAUUUGCACUGCUGUCCUCUUUGGUAUCCUGCCUUCUGCUCAGCUCCUGCCCAUUCUUCCCCCAUCCUAUUAUUCCUAUUAUUCUUUCCUAAUAUUUUUUCCCUAGCUGUAUUCUCUGCCCUUCUGUUCUUUUCUCAAAUUUCAAUAAAGCUUGUGGGCAGAAAAGAGAGCUUUCCUUGAGCAUUUAGUAGUCUUACAUGAGAACCGGAGAAUGGAGUCUUAGGAAAAUUUUGCUUGCAAUUUUUAAGAUAUUAUCUGAGAAUAUUGAAAUUGAAUUUUCUCUUUAGGUUUACUGUAUUUGGGUAGUUUUCCUUGAAACCAGCAAAAGACACAACCUGAAACAGGCCAACUUCUUGCUAUCACGUUAUCGCAUACAGCAGUGUUCCUCUUCGUUCUGUCCUUCUGCGUUGUGUGGUGCUAAAGAUUGGAAAAAGCUCUGGGGAGUACAGCCAGACCUCUUUUAUCUGGCUUGCUUUUAUCCAAGAAAAAUUACCCAGCCUAUGGGAGCGGACCAUCAAAGUCACUCAUCUGUGAGCAGUUCGUUGUGGUGCUGGGAGACUGCGAGUUUUGGAAAACGUCUAUAUUGCACGAGGAAGCCUCAGAUGCACGGGAUGAGCAGCCAUGGAGCUACAAGCAAGAAAAAAGCUCGACUAGUGGAAGAAGUAUCUAGGCAAUGAGUCGCCUCCUACAUUAGUGGGAUGAGCUUCCCUCUGGGAACUUUUGCCUUCUGGAGAAACCUAAAUGAGAGAGAUACUCCACUGCCCCACACCCUUCUUCUCUUCAUGCACUGCUGCUGCUAAAGAGACUGUCAAGCUUCCUGUUGAGAUAAAGAGCUAUGCUUACAAUGUGUAGCCCCAAACCAGCGAGAUAACACGCUGCCGUUUGCUGUGUUAGGCAAUGCCAUUUCUGUAGCAGGGUGGUAUUUCUGAAUGGGGAGAUUCAAACAGGGAACUGAUCUGAGGGUGAGCGUGUGAGGAGUUUAAUCUAAGGGUUUGAGAUGUUCCGGAUGGUAAAGAGCAAUAUUGGGAGUUUUCAGAUCAUUUUCCACGUACUAGAGACUUUCAAAUAGAAUACACAACUAUAACUAAAUUCCAGUAUUUAUUUCAUCAUGAUAAUUGAAGGGAAAGCUUUAGUAUAAAAGAUGAUGCUAAAUGUACAAAAUAUUCCAUAAAUCUCUGUCUUUCUGAUGUCAUAGAUUGCCACUUUUCUUAGCUAUUUUAUUUAAAACUUUUCAAGUUCCCAUUAUGCUAUUUAUUAUUUCAUUGGGUUAUUUAGAUGUAAAGUGAUUUUUUUUAAAUUAUCUCCAACACAAGAAAUUUCUCAAAGUCAAAGUUUUAUUGAUCAGUAAUUUUCCAGCAGCCUCUCCUUACGUUUCAGCAGAUAACUCUGGACCAGGGCCAGCUGUUGUUUCCUGGCCUCAGUCCAAUUUUUUCCCUGAAAAUGAAUACCCAAAACGUUCAUCGUUCCCAUACCAUGGAAUCAAUGUGCAUAAUACAGAAAAAAUGUCAGGCUUUAUAAUGCGAUGCAGAAAAUUAAACUCUAGUUACUAUUCGUGAGUAGGUUUUCCUUCUUAGAAUGCAUAAUUUAAAAAAUAUGUUGUGGCUGCUAUUGUGGCUGUCACACUAUCCCAUACUGGAAUCUGUGUCAGAAUUAUAAAAAACUGCUAUAUGAGAAGAGAACCUGGGCAGAUAUUUUCCUAGAACAUGUCAGAAGCAAACUUUUUGUGAACAAAUGAAUAAAAUUAAUCCUUCUCAAGG